rnacentral:tRNA from 1 species
AAAGCCUUAGCUUAAUUAAAGUGUCUGUUUUGCAUGCAGAAGAUGUGGGUUAGUGUCCCGCAGGUUUUA